AAUAAUAAUAAUAAUAAUAAUAAUAAUGUAUAAAAUGUGCCCUAUUAUGCCUAUUUUGCCACUUCUGUGUCAGUUUGUUGGUACGUCAAUAUUUCAGAAAAUAGAAAUUAUAUGCUCAUUUUCAUUUUUUUGCGGUCUGAAGAGAUAUCGCGAGAUUACACGAGACUAUAAGAUAGCAAACACUGGAGCGGAUCUGAGUUACCAUGGAAACGGGGAAACGUCAAGCAUCAAGACUCCGUCUCGCUGUUGUUUUCACUGAUUUUAGGGGUGACAGAAAACCCUCUCUACAACAAAGAGGAAGCUGACAGAGGAGGAGGAAACACAGAUCCUUCCAUGCUGAUGGCCUCCUGCACCCCAGAGCUGAGCGACCUCCUGUCAAAGGCCACGAAUCAGAUGACUAUAUUAUGUUUGCUAGUGAGACAGACGCCAUACUGUUCCACUCAAAGAUCCGCCAUCAGUUGUUUACCAGUAUGGAGACCAGCUAAGACCAACUGGGAGGUUUUGUUCAUACUUUUUAUUGUGCAUUGUCAUGAUUUCUGCUUUGAUUUGUUAUGAAUCCAGGUCUCUUUUUUUUGAUGCAUCAUGAUAAAUAAAAUGGAUGUAAUUUAUUGUGACAGUGAAUAAAAAAUAUAUUGAUAUACAUGGACUCAAGUCACUUAUUUGGAAUUUAUUAAAUUCUGUAGCAUACAUGUAAAAUAAAACUAAAAUAAAUUACAGUAAAAUUACUGUAAUAUUAUUAUACUGUAAAAAUAAGUUGCGGUAAGGGCAUCAUACUGUAAAAUUAAAUUGCGGUAAGGGUAUCUUACUGUAAAA